rnacentral:rRNA from 1 species
UACGUAGGGUGCGAGCGUUAAUCGGAAUUACUGGGCGUAAAGCGUGCGCAGGCGGUUUUGUAAGCCAGGUGUGAAAUCCCCGGGCUUAACCUGGGAAUGGCAUUUGGGACUGCAAGGCUGGAGUGUGGCAGAGGAGACUGGAAUUCCCGGUGUAGCAGUGAAAUGCGUAGAUAUCGGGAGGAAUACCGAUGGCGAAGGCAGGUCUCUGGGCUGACACUGACGCUCAUGCACGAAAGCGUGGGGAGCAAACAGG